UACGGGGGGGAGCAAGCGUUGUUCGGAUUUACUGGGCGUAAAGGGCGCGUAGGCGGCCAGCACAAGUCAGUUGUGAAAUCUCCGGGCUUAACUCGGAAAGGUCAACCGAUACUGCGGGGCUAGAGUGCAGAAGGGGCAACUGGAAUUCUCGGUGUAGCGGUGAAAUGCGUAGAUAUCGAGAGGAACACCUGCGGCGAAGGCGGGUUGCUGGGCUGACACUGACGCUGAUGUGCGAAAGCUAGGGGAGCGAACGGG
rnacentral:rRNA from 1 species